rnacentral:rRNA from 3 species
AAAUUGAAGAGUUUGAUCAUGGCUCAGAUUGAACGCUGGCGGCAGGCCUAACACAUGCAAGUCGAACGGUAACAGGAAGCAGCUUGGCUGCUUUGCUGACGAGUGGCGGACGGGUGAGUAAUGUCUGGGAAACUGCCUGAUGGAGGGGGAUAACUACUGGAAACGGUGGCUAAUACCGCAUAACGUCGCAAGACCAAAGAGGGGGACCUUCGGGCCUCUUGCCAUCAGAUGUGCCCAGAUGGGAUUAGCUUGUUGGUGAGGUAACGGCUCACCAAGGCGACGAUCCCUAGCUGGUCUGAGAGGAUGACCAGCCACACUGGAACUGAGACACGGUCCAGACUCCUACGGGAGGCAGCAGUGGGGAAUAUUGCACAAUGGGCGCAAGCCUGAUGCAGCCAUGCCGCGUGUAUGAAGAAGGCCUUCGGGUUGUAAAGUACUUUCAGCGGGGAGGAAGGUGUUGUGGUUAAUAACCGCAGCAAUUGACGUUACCCGCAGAAGAAGCACCGGCUAACUCCGUGCCAGCAGCCGCGGUAAUACGGAGGGUGCAAGCGUUAAUCGGAAUUACUGGGCGUAAAGCGCACGCAGGCGGUCUGUCAAGUCGGAUGUGAAAUCCCCGGGCUCAACCUGGGAACUGCAUUCGAAACUGGCAGGCUUGAGUCUUGUAGAGGGGGGUAGAAUUCCAGGUGUAGCGGUGAAAUGCGUAGAGAUCUGGAGGAAUACCGGUGGCGAAGGCGGCCCCCUGGACAAAGACUGACGCUCAGGUGCGAAAGCGUGGGGAGCAAACAGGAUUAGAUACCCUGGUAGUCCACGCCGUAAACGAUGUCUACUUGGAGGUUGUGCCCUUGAGGCGUGGCUUCCGGAGCUAACGCGUUAAGUAGACCGCCUGGGGAGUACGGCCGCAAGGUUAAAACUCAAAUGAAUUGACGGGGGCCCGCACAAGCGGUGGAGCAUGUGGUUUAAUUCGAUGCAACGCGAAGAACCUUACCUGGUCUUGACAUCCACAGAACUUUCCAGAGAUGGAUUGGUGCCUUCGGGAACUGUGAGACAGGUGCUGCAUGGCUGUCGUCAGCUCGUGUUGUGAAAUGUUGGGUUAAGUCCCGCAACGAGCGCAACCCUUAUCCUUUGUUGCCAGCGGUCCGGCCGGGAACUCAAAGGAGACUGCCAGUGAUAAACUGGAGGAAGGUGGGGAUGACGUCAAGUCAUCAUGGCCCUUACGACCAGGGCUACACACGUGCUACAAUGGCGCAUACAAAGAGAAGCGACCUCGUGAGAGCAAGCGGACCUCAUAAAGUGCGUCGUAGUCCGGAUUGGAGUCUGCAACUCGACUCCAUGAAGUCGGAAUCGCUAGUAAUCGUGGAUCAGAAUGCCACGGUGAAUACGUUCCCGGGCCUUGUACACACCGCCCGUCACACCAUGGGAGUGGGUUGCAAAAGAAGUAGGUAGCUUAACCUUCGGGAGGGCGCUUACCACUUUGUGAUUCAUGACUGGGGUGAAGUCGUAACAAGGUAACCGUAGGGGAACCUGCGGUUGGAUCACCUCCUUA